rnacentral:lncRNA from 1 species
CUUGCUUCUCACUGCAUAGAAAGCCAAUCACAGAGAUGAUGUGUACUGCCAGGGAAGAAGGCAUUUUGGGUGUUGCAGCUGAAAAGAUGGUAGAUCAGUUUUAAAUCCACCUCCCUAGCUGACUAAAAUGAGGGGUUUAUAUAGCAGGGAAGAAAUGGAAAACAGGAAUUCGGGUGGGGUAAGGAAGAGGAGUUGGUUGACAGGCAGCAGGUGAUCAGUUAGACAAUCGUGAUGGGUGAGGGGUCUGGCAUCUCAUCGUCCAGAGGCUGUGAUGUGGUGAGUUUCAGCUUCUUUGACCAGGAGGCCUGAUGGUUGGUUUCCUGUUAAAGGAACUCAGGUGAUCAAUGCAUGGAAGAGGAUAGAGCUCUUCAUCCUAGUUCUUCUCCAGGUUCCAACCUGAGUCUUUGUUCAUGUGUAAACAUGCUAUACACCAACUCAGCCCACUAUAAAUAUGCUAUAUCAUGAACUGUUUCAUCAAGGAGUUCCUUUAAUCCAACAAUUUCAAGGACUCUUUAAAAAAAUUUUUUUUUUUUUGAAAUGGAGUCUCACUCUCUUGCCCAGGCUGGAGUGCAGGGGCGCGAUCUCUGUUCACUGCAAGCUCCGCCUCCCGGGUUCACUUCAUUCUCCUGCCUCAGCCUCCCAAGUAGCUGAGACUACAGGCACCUGCAACCACGCCCAGCUAAUUUUUUGUAUUUUUAGUAGAGAUGGG